ensembl:lncRNA
CCCCGCGGCAGCGGGAACGGGCGGGGGCUUCCUGCGCUCCGGAGCCGCCGGCGGCAGCAGCAGCAUGGAGCGAGUCCCGCGGCUCGUGGCCGCCGCAGUGCUCGUGGGGUGCUGCGCGCGGCUCUGCCCCGCUCUCGGCGGUGGGAUGGGCUCCACGCGGGGCACGGCCGUCCCCUGCGCCCACCCAGGGGAGAGCUGCCAGACAGAUCCGCAGCACGGAGCGGGGUGGCUGCAAACAGAGGCUGAGCUGUUCCCCUUCCCUGGGACCCCCCCCGGGACUGCUGAGCCCCUCGGCACCAGCAGCAGCCCUGGGGAGGCCGGGACGAGCCCUGCGGUGCGGAAUGGAGUGAGCACCGAGGCACAGCCUUCACACUCCGCUGGUACCACUGAUGCAGCUGCAGGCAGAGAGGGAACUUCUCCCACGCGCCUGGGGGAGAGCCCAGCCAGGGGGCUCACAGCAGUCCCCGUGGAGCUGAGCACAGCUCCAGCCGUCAGCGCUGCCCCCGGGACUGAGCCCAUAGGAAAUGAGAAGGCAGAAAGUGCCCCAACCUCACAGAGGACCCACUUGCAUUCAUCGUCCCAUGUGACGGUGCCCAGCAGCAGUGGGGGGCAGUGGGGAACCCCCAGCACUAUGAGGACAGUGCUCACACGGAGCUGGAGGGGCUCACUCAGCCCCUCGCAUCCGGAGCCACAGGGCAGGGGUGCCACCAUCCCGCCCAGUGACAGCAGAGCAGGGAUGCCCCAGGGCCACACAACAGACAGCCCUGCGCCAGGGACGAGUGGGACACUGCCUUCUGUGGGGGGGCUGCAGAGUCUGCAGAGCCCCCCUGGGGAACUAGGAAGGAUGCAUCAGGUGCUGGCAGGCACAGGGCCAGUAGGAGAGUCCCGCCCAUUGCAGUGGACAACCAUGGCCUGGCUGGGUCCUCAUGCCACGUCCCGCCCCCCUCUGCUGUCCCCGGGGGUUGGUGGCGGUGGAGGGCUGAUGUGGCAGCCCAGGGGCCCUGGGUCCAGCACGGCGCUACUGCCCAUGGAGUCACGUCUGCCUCCUGACCUUAGUACCAUGGCCACUACCCCAGGGGUGAUGUCCCCUGGCCCUGAGGGAGCCCCAGACCUGACCACAGAGGUGCUGGGGCUGCCCAACACUCAGGGUCCCCCUGGGCCCAACCAUGUCCCCAUGAACCAGACCUGGCAUAUCUCAGCCUUGCCAGGGGAAGCCCCAACCUCUCCGGGCCCACAGCCCUCCCUGGGGCUCAGCCCCACUGCUGACACCCCCCCAGCAGUGUCUCUUGGGCGUGAACAUGCUGCUGAGAGCCCUCAGGUCCCAGGAGGGACCCCGGUGUGGGCAGGUGAUGCUGGGCCUUGGGCAGUGACUGCACCACCGAGCACAGCCCUUCCCGCGGCCCCCAGCUCUCCACUGCAGCCAGCCCUGACCCAAUCCACAUCGUCUCCACUGCUGCUGACCUUUGCCAUCAGCACUACCACCAGCAUCACCACCACCUCCAGCAUCACCACCACUACUGCCAGCACAGCCACUGCCACCGCCACCAACACAGCCACUGCCACCAGCACAGCUACUGCCACCAGCACAGCCACUGCCACCGGCACAGCCACUGCCACCAGCUCCACACUGCUCAGGGAUGAGAGGACGGCCCCACUGGAGCCCAGCACUGCUGCAUGUCAGGGGGCUGUGGAGGAGCUGACGCGGGGGCCCGGUGUGGUGCCGGGGUCCCCCCAUCAGCUCACAGACCCCCCCGGAGGUGCAGAGCCGCCCCCGCCACAGAGCAGCCCCGCGGAGCGGCCACACGCUGACCCCACAUGCGUGACACCAAACCCAGCGGCAGCAGGCAGGGCCACCCCGGUGUUCAUCGUGGAGGAUGAACCGCCGCUGCUGCGAGCGUCCCUCCUGCGCGUGCCCUGCGAGCUGGUGCUGGACAUGACCUUCGUGCCAGCCCUGCGCGACCCCACGUCCCACGAGCACCACGUGCUGCUGAGCAGCCUCAACCGGACGGUGAGCGGGGGGCCGCCCCGUGGGGAGGAGUAUCGCGUGGGGGCGGUCCCGCAUGGCACCCAUGGCUCCCACGCAGGUGGCGCCCCGGCUGGCGGCGGUGCCCGGCUUCGUGCGCCUCGAGGUGACGGCCGUCAGGUAGGGACGNAG